CCUACGGGAGGCAGCAGUGGGGGAUAUUGCACAAUGGGGGGAACCCUGAUGCAGCGACGCCGCGUGGGUGAAGAAGCGCCUCGGCGCGUAAAGCCCUGUCAGCAGGGAAGAAAAUGACGGUACCUGAAGCAGAAGCCCCGGCUAACUACGUGCCAGCUGCCGCGGUAAUACGUCGGGGGCAAGCGUUAUCCGGAUUUACUGGGGGUAAAGGGGGCGCAGACGGCGAUGCAAGCCAGGAGUGAAAGCCCGGGGCCCAACGCCGGGACUGCUCUUGGAACUGCGUGGCUGGAGUGCAGGAGGGGCAGGCGGAAGGCCUGGUGUAGCGGUGAAAUGCGUAGAUAUCAGGAGGAACACCGGUGGCGAAGGCGGCCUGCUGGACUGCAACUGACGGUGAGGCACGAAAGCGUGGGGAGCAAACAGGAUUAGAUACCCGUGUAGUC
rnacentral:rRNA from 1 species